AGAUGGAUCAUUCAUAUUUUAAUGUUCAUUACGUGGUUAUUCGUGUAACAAAUGAAUCGAGUGAAAAUGGUGCAUGUCAUGCGAAAAAAAAAUUAAUGCAUGUGGUUUACUGAAACUAAGACAUUUAUGAAAAGUUGUUUUACAUCUUUCAGCGAUGGAUGUCUCGGAUCCCGUAACGAUGAAGAACGCAGCUAGCUGCGAGAUGCAGUGUGACAUGCGAACUUCUGUGAAUCAUUAGAUUUUUGAACGCAAAAGGUACUUCUAAAUUUUAGAAGUAUGUUUACUUCAGUGCUUUUAUUUAUUUGUUGCCCUAAUUGGGGGUCAACGUGAUUAGUUGCUGUGAUAACGGUGACUUGAAACUACUGGAUAUAAACUUUAUGUGGUUACUUAAGUUUCAUAUCUAAGUUGAUUUUUUAUAAGCCUGAAUUUAAGCAAGUAUACCCGCUGAACUUAAGCAUAUUAUUAGGCGGAGGAAAAGAAACUAACUAGGAUUUCCUUAGUAACGGCGAGUGAACAGGAAAUAGCUCAAACUGAAAAUCGGCAGUUUACUGUCGAAUUGUAGUCUCAUGAAAUGCAGCCUGUAAAUGUUUUGAAUUAAGUCUCUUGGAAAAGAGUACCACAGAGGGUGAAAGUCCCGUCUGUAUUUAGAACUAUUUACUUUCGGUGCAUUUUCAAAGAGUCGCGUUCCUUGAGAUUGGAGCGCUAAGUGGGUGAUAAACUUCAUCUAAAGCUAAAUAAUAACGGGAUUCCGAUAGCACACAAGUACCGUGAGGGAAAGGUGAAAAGAACUUUGAAAAGAGAGUUAAAAGGUACUGAAAUUGCUGAAAUGGAAGUGGAAAGUUUCAAUGGUUUAGCUAAAUUUUUCAUGUACUGUGAAUAAAUUUUUUAUUUACAUGUAUGUGGUAAAAAUUUGCGGUGACUUUGGAAGUGAUUAUUCAUACUGAUGACAGUAUUGAUAGGCCCUAUUUUAGGACCACAUCUUUAUUGUUCUCAAACUGAGUGAUCUGCGUAUUUCUACUCAACAAUACUGUUGUGUUAUACUCUUCCAAAAAUAUUGAUUCUGUCCUCCCCGUCUUGAAACACGGACCAAGGAGUCUAUUUUAUGUGCGAGUACAAGGGCUGAAAACCUAUGUGCGAAAUAAAAGUAAUAGUUAGGAUGGUUUUUCCUGCACUAACACUCGUUCACUGAACCGAAGUUGAGCACAUAGAAUAGGACCCGAAAGAUGGUGAACUAUGCCUGAGUAGGGUGAAGCUAGAGGAAACUCUGGUGGAGGCUCGUAGCGAUACUGACGUGCAAAUCGUUCGUCAAACUUUGGUAUAGGGGCGAAAGACCAAUCGAACCAUCUAGUAGCUGGUUCCUUC
rnacentral:misc_RNA from 1 species